rnacentral:rRNA from 1 species
UACGUAGGUGGCGAGCGUUGUCCGGAAUUACUGGGUGUAAAGGGCGCGCAGGCGGGGAGACAAGUCAGAUGUGAAAACCCGGGGCUCAACUCCGGGAAUGCAUCUGAAACUGUUUUUCUUGAGUGCCGGAGAGGGAAGCGGAAUUCCUGGUGUAGCGGUGAAAUGCGUAGAUAUCAGGAGGAACACCAGUGGCGAAGGCGGCUUUCUGGACGGUAACUGACGCUGAGGCGCGAAAGCGUGGGGAGCAAACAGG